CAGAGAGAAGGUGCAGUCCUCAGCUCAAAGGCUGCCUGUUAACCAGGUGGGAGAGCAUCAUGAGACAUUUAGUCUUACCUCACAUAAGAAUUUUAAAUUUCCAAGGUAGUGCAGAGCUCUUAGGACUUUGUCAUUUAAACCCUGACUGUGUGGGGCGAGAGCACAAAUGUCUGUUCUGCCAUCAGCCCCACAGCUGUUCCUCCCACUCAGGUGUUUUCAUCUCUCUAAAAUUGACUCCUGGCAGCCAAUUAAUUACCUGCUGGGACGACACCAUUCUUUCCACUCACAAAGGGAGCAGUUGCAGUUGGAGAAGGAGCUGGGGAAUGGCUGGGAAUGUCAGAAAAAGAAAGAAAGUGAAUAUAUUUUACAACGGAUAUUACUGGAAUAUGUGA
rnacentral:lncRNA from 1 species